rnacentral:rRNA from 2 species
ACGCUGGCGGCAGGCCUAACACAUGCAAGUCGAGCGGAAACGACACUAACAAUCCUUCGGGUGCGUUAAUGGGCGUCGAGCGGCGGACGGGUGAGUAAUGCCUAGGAAAUUGCCUUGAUGUGGGGGAUAACCAUUGGAAACGAUGGCUAAUACCGCAUGAUGCCUACGGGCCAAAGAGGGGGACCUUCGGGCCUCUCGCGUCAAGAUAUGCCUAGGUGGGAUUAGCUAGUUGGUGAGGUAAUGGCUCACCAAGGCGACGAUCCCUAGCUGGUCUGAGAGGAUGAUCAGCCACACUGGAACUGAGACACGGUCCAGACUCCUACGGGAGGCAGCAGUGGGGAAUAUUGCACAAUGGGCGAAAGCCUGAUGCAGCCAUGCCGCGUGUAUGAAGAAGGCCUUCGGGUUGUAAAGUACUUUCAGUUGUGAGGAAGGGUGUGUAGUUAAUAGCUGCGCAUCUUGACGUUAGCAACAGAAGAAGCACCGGCUAACUCCGUGCCAGCAGCCGCGGUAAUACGGAGGGUGCGAGCGUUAAUCGGAAUUACUGGGCGUAAAGCGCAUGCAGGUGGUUCAUUAAGUCAGAUGUGAAAGCCCGGGGCUCAACCUCGGAACUGCAUUUGAAACUGGUGAACUAGAGUACUGUAGAGGGGGGUAGAAUUUCAGGUGUAGCGGUGAAAUGCGUAGAGAUCUGAAGGAAUACCAGUGGCGAAGGCGGCCCCCUGGACA